ACAUCAGGACAUGUUGAGGAGAUAAUUUAGCCAUUUAAAUCAGCUGUGUUGGUUCAAGGACACAUGUAAAACCUGCAGGGACACCGGCCCUCGGUGCCCACCCCUGAUCUAAGCCAACCUCACCAUGCCAUCCAUUCAGCAUCAUGUACAACGGAGCUGGCGGAUUAGGUCCUCUGCCCUGGACUACGAGCCUGGGAAAAAGUAAAACUCAAGCUACCUUCAUUCCUUCACAUCCACCCGAUGUUUCAUGUUUCCAAUACAACAAACCCGCUCCUUUGAGCCCAUUGCCCUUCCUGCCUCUCUGCUCAUCUUAAAACCCUGCAAAAGGUCACAAUCAGCCUCUUGGAUCAUUCUCAGCACAGUUCUCUCCUUCACCGUCCUGCUAAACAAGCUCUCUGAUGGGUGAUCCAGUGGUGAUGGUGAGUCUGUACCCUGAGUUCCCCCAGUCUGUGAUGUGUUCAAUGGCUUCAUGUGGAGAGUUUGUGUUGGUAGUGAAUAAUUCUGAAAAUGUGAGUAAUACUCGCAACAGCAGUGCCAGGGUAUUCAUAAAGUGGUGUUAGAGUUACAAUAUCUUUCCUCAAAUUGUUCCUCUCACACAGUGGCCUCACCUUCUUUUCCCUCUUCCCUUCAGGACACUCCUCUGCUCCUGUUGGAGAGUUUACCGAUGGGUUGCUAUUCAAACAUUUACAGUUUGGGGUCUAGUUAUGAACACAUCUUCCCGUGACUUGUAUUCAUGUGAUCUCAGUGACUUACAGUGAUAUCACUGUAAAUGUGUAAUAACAAAUUUCCCAUGUGUGGGACUAAUAAAGGUUAUCUUAUCUUAUCUUAUCUUAUCUGAUCUUAUAAGAUGUCGUCCCUGUUGUUAAACACCAUGUUGCCUUUGGAUGAUUCUGCAAAACUCCAGGUUAUGUUUGAUCUCACUUGUGUGUAUCUCAUGGCAGUAAGAGUGUAGAGUAUGGUGAGAAGACCAUGGAGGAGGCUCUGAAGAAAGUUGAGCAAAUGGAGGCUAAUCUUGGAGGAACAGAAAUCCUGGAGCCCCUCAAACAUAUUUACAGCCAGCCCUGCAUUCCCACUCAGCCCAGAC